rnacentral:rRNA from 1 species
GGGUCAGUAGGUUGGUCGUGCCACCGGUACGUACUGGACUCACUGAUUCCUCCUUCCUGAAGAACCGUAAUGCCAUUAAUUUGGUGUUGCGGGGACACAGGACUGUUACUUUGAAAAAAUUAGAGUGUUUAAAGCAAGCUAACGCUUGAAUACAUUAGCAUGGAAUAAUGAAAUAGGACGAUCGAUCCUAUUUUGUUGGUUUCUAGGAUUGACUUA